GAGUGACGUUUGGGGCAAAACUA
rnacentral:siRNA from 1 species